ensembl:miRNA MIR128-2 microRNA 128-2
UGUGCAGUGGGAAGGGGGGCCGAGGCACUGUCCGAGAGUGAGUAGCAGGUCUCACAGUGAACCGGUCUCUUUCCCUACUGUGUC